UACAGAGGGUGCGAGCGUUAAUCGGAAUUACUGGGCGUAAAGCGCGCGUAGGCGGCUUUGCAAGUCGGGUGUGAAAUCCCCAGGCUUAACCUGGGAACUGCAUUCGAGACUGCAUUGCUAGAGUAUGGGAGAGGGAAGUGGAAUUUCCGGUGUAGCGGUGAAAUGCGUAGAUAUCGGAAGGAACAUCAGUGGCGAAAGCGACUUCCUGGACCAAUACUGACGCUCAUGUUCGAAAGCGUGGGGAGCAAACAGG
rnacentral:rRNA from 1 species